GAGGAGCGGCUGAGGAGCGGCUGCGGGGCCGCAGAGAGGCGCCGAGGGGCGGCUGAGGAGCGGCUGCAGAGCCGCAGAGAGGCGCCGAGGGGCGGCUGAGGAGCGGCUGCAGAGCCGCAGAGAGGCGCCGAGGGGCGCCGUGCGUGGGCGGUCUCUCCUCAGGCGCCGCGGCGGCGCAGGGGGGCCCGGCGCUCGGCCGGUGCGCGCCUCACGCAGCGCGGCCCGGGCGGCAGCAACUCCCGUCCUUUGUCCCCGAGCCUAGGCCAGGCGUCUUUGAGCACUUGGGCCUCCGCCGCAGCCGGUGCCGACGGGAAGCGCCAUGACUGAGCAUUGCUAGAGCUCGACAAAAUUUAAGGUACAUGGUCCAUCAUUUCAAAAUGGCAAUAUGCAUUUGUGACCCUAAACAGCUCCCCGGUCAGAGAACUGCUCUUCAGUCUUGAGAUUGAGAUCAGCAUGGUUUUAGCCUGUGAGAAGCUAUCUGAAAAGGAUGGAAUGCAUCAGCUGACAAGAAUCCCCACUUCAGUUUCACAGAAAAGGGCAGGUAUGAGGGACUUCACUUCUGUCCUUGUCUUCUCAAAACAAGCAACUGCAAUAUUGGAUUUUACCUUCUGAUAUUAUUCUACACGUCUAAUCUGAUGGGCUACUGAGAAACAAGCAAUACCAGCACUAAUAAGGUUUUUAUUUUUGGCACACUGUGUUCAGCAGCCAGUUAUAAUAAUGGGUUACAUGGCAGCAGCUCAUAAUCAGGUAAUUAUGGGGGAAAAAGCCCUAAACAUAACAACCUUCUGCUUUUCAAAUAAAAACCACAAGAAUAUUAACAGUAUAUGAGCUGUAAGUUAUUCUUCAGCAACUUCUAUGACUAAAACAGUAUUUUCAAGCUCUGCUUAGAUGAAACCAUACAGAUUUGUUUAUACAGGGAGCUCAUCAAACUCCUGCUUCAACAGAUGGGACAGCAUUAGUCCUUGCUCCUUCCACACAGUCCAUUCAGCUGUUACACACAUUAGCACAGCACUAUUGUACCUGUUUCUUUACAUUUAAUCCUUUCUUAUUCCUUCCAGUUUUAAAUAUAACCAACACAAGUAGGAUUCUUUCCCCUUUUUUUCAGGCUCAUUACAAUUGCCAGUAGUUAAACCAAACCAACUAGUCCCCAUUUGUUUUGUUUUAUGUAGUACCCAAUGCCAGUAGGUGCAGGGACAGUGUGCAGUAGAUGUCAUGAAGUCCCAUGGUGUAUGCACACAGCCUACACAGCCACUCCAGUUUCAGUGUGCAGUAUCCCUCACACAGCACACACUUUCCUCCUUCUGUUACUGUCUAACACUUAGACAUCAUACCUAAAACUUCAGAGCAUUUAUACCCAUUGCCUGUCUAAACCUCAGAGGGGCCCUGAGGCAGACACUAUUGUCCCAUUUUACAGAUGGGGAAACUGAGGCAGAAGCAUUAAUGCCCUGCCCAAUACUGCAAAUAAAAGCCCAUCUGAAAGUUCCCACUUCAAUAUUAUGGCUGUAAAUUGGUUGUGUCUAAGGUACCAAAAUCAUGGCAACAAGAAGCCAUGUUUCAGAAUACUAAGCCUUCACUGUUAUUAUUUUCAUUAUUAUUACUAUUAUUAUUAUUUCUAUAGACUACAAAUCAGAUAUGUUAGCAGCAGUUUUUUUUUGCUUUAUACCAAGAAUGAGAGACUCCAGAUGAAACAUGAGAUUAAGAAAUGAUAGUAGAAAAUAAUUCAAAACCCAACCAGUGAUGAAUUCUGUUUAAUACUAAAAAAGCCAAAAAGACACUCUUCAGACCAAAAAGUAUUAAUUAAAAGAAAAAAAAAGAAAAAAAAACCAAGACAUUUCAAAAUGGUUUAAGCUGACAUUAUGUUGUUUUAUUUCAAUUUCACAAAAGAAAUACUUUAUAAAACUAAAAUCAGUUAACCCAGCCACUAUCAACAGAGGGUGGUAUAAGCAAAAGACACUAGGUCAGAACCUGCAGUGAAGAGCCAUCUGUUCCUGUCACUGGAAUGCUCCUGUACCACCAGAAUACUUCACUGGGGAAUGGAGAGAAGAGGGGUUUUACAGCAGUUUGGAGAAGCACAAGAGCUCCUCCUAGCUGGUGCUUUGUUGCUACCCAGGUCUCCUCUGUAUCAUAAGUGUAACAAGGAUUUACUGAUUUCGGAAAGGACAGAUCCAGCAUAGCAAAGGCAAGAAAAUUUUCAAUUCAAUUUUAUGCAAAUUUCCUUUAAAAAGGUACUACUGUAUUUUAAAAUCAGACUAUCAAACUGAUUACUUAGCUAACUUAUGUGGGAUUUCCAGUCUCAUUACUGAAAGGAAAAUGAAUACAAGGCUUAAGCAAGCCCUGUGCUAAAUAAAAUAUAGACGGGCUUUGGGUAGAUACUUGUAUGUUUGCCUGAGCUUUGAUUCUGGGAGAGCAGGGGUGGGAGGAUUUGUUCAGUUAUUGUUAAGGAAUUCCAUUCCCUGCCCUCCCCAUUCCAAAUUUUUCAUUGGGUGGCAAGACUGGAGGUGAGAGGGAAUAAGGUAAAGCAAUAAUCUUAAUGCUUGACUAAGGUUCUGAUAGAGCAGGCCACAGAACCUUGCACAAAUAUAAACAAAGUACCUGCCUAGGGACAGCUUUGCCUGUUUUUAUCAUGCCCAAGUUAUGGCUGUUCAAUACAGUGGCAUCUGUCAAACCAUCCACCCUAUCCCCCAGGCCCCUCUCUCUCCUGAAGAGUACAUGAUGGCAAGAAUCCUUCCUUGUACCUAUUCCUUUCUGAAAAGGGCAGGGCAGUGGGAGAAAGAAAAAAAAACCCAACGAAACCAACAAGAAAUCAGAUUAUUUCAAAAGAUGGGCAACUUUCCCUUGUAGAAUAAACCUUCCCCUCCAAAAAGGGAUGUUUCUUUGCUCCUAUAACCCACGAUAAAUUAAAACCAAGUAAGAAGUCUCUGGUUUGACACAAUAAAUACUUAGAAUAUAGCAAAUUAAAAAAUAUAGUUACAAAACCCUCAAUGGAAUUCUUUCUGAC